CGGGCAUCGUAUAAUGGCUAUUACCUCAGCCUUCCAAGCUGAUGAUGCGGGUUCGAUUCCCGCUGCCACAACCC
rnacentral:tRNA from 1 species